GGGCGGUGAGGAGGCGGCGGAGCAGAGCGCGAGGCGCUCGCAGCCCCGGCGGGGCCGUUGACCGAGCUGCGGCAGGCAGGCUGCCAAUAGUUCAAAUGAGAGGCUUGUGGUUUCUAGCUGAAAACACUCCAUGUUUGGGAAAAAAACCAUGAUGUUUAUUGGAUUUUGCAGCGAUUCAGGGCUAUAUGGCUGAAGUGACUAAUGCACUGAUGGCGAGACUUAAAAAGAAUAACAGAUCAAAGGCUUGUGUCAGUCUCAGCGAUCUGAUUUGUUACUAUUAUAAAGGGCUUCCUAACUGAAUUAUCUCUUAGUAUGAUUUCUAAUGUAGUUAUACUGUGAGAAUUAUUCAUCUACUUUUCUUAAGAAUGAGAAGCCUCAUACUCAGUGUGUCCAUGAAGCUAGGAAAAUUUUGUCCCACACAGAACUGUAAUGGGCACUGACUUAUUGGAAUACUAAUGACCCAAAGAGACUUGGCUGCUCCAGACUGUCUAUAAAGAAAGUUGUUAUAAGAAAUAGGAGAAAUCUCAAGCACACAAAUGACUGUAACCUUUCUAGAUCAGAGACCUUAUUUUCAUUCUUGUAUAAUUUGAAUUAUAUAUGGAAACAAUAUAAAUAAAUGGAUAAAUAAUAAUUAAGAAUGAUUACUUCAGAGGAGAAGAGUGAGGGUGGCAGGAAGGCUUGUGAAUAUGUACAAUUGGACCCGAGACAUUUCCCAGUUGUUGAAACUUACUAGGAAGUGUCCCCCCAUCCAACAGAUAGAGGUACAAAAGAAUUAGGGGUAUCUGGAGGAAGUAACUCAAAAGAAAAAAAAAGGUGAGGUAUUGAAUAAAAUUUGACCAUUUGCAUAUUCACUAGUCUUCAAACAAGAACUUGCCUAUAACUGAGAAAAACUGCACACGUCUAAGCCAAUGGGUUACACUAUGCAGGUGCUAGAGUUUGAAACAAAAAUGCUUCUGUAAGCAUUGUAUAAGGUAAUAGAUUUUCCUAAAUUUACUUGCAAUAGCAAAAACAAGGUUUCUGGUAGAUUUCAACUACUUAGCAAAUCUAGAGCCUGAUCUGGCAAACCCUUAUCACACAAAUAAACCUAGAUAUAGCCCUUCUAACUUAAGUGCCAGAUUCUGAGACUUUUGCUAUACUGAGUCACCCCUUACUUCAAGGGUCGUCCCACUCAAGUCAGUAGGACCACUUGCAGACUAAGGUUCUACUCAUUGUGAGGAAAGGGUCAGAGUAUGUCCCUAAACAACUUUGAUUUUUAUGUUGUCAAAACAAUCCAAUAAGUAAUAUUUUGCAACAUUUAGGGGACAUCUCAUGUGAUAGGACAGUAGAAAAUUAGUAGAAUAAAGAUCUGCCAUUGUCCCACUUAUCUGCAUCUAUGGUAAAUUUAGAGAAGAUAUAGCACAGCUGUUCCUACCCAAAUUUCUCUGUGGGGCAAACCUUUCCUUUUUUACAGGAAUUUGGGCACUGGCUUAUAUGGUCUCUUCCUUAAUCUGUUGCUACUUCUGGCUGUGUGUUAUGUACUCUUCCACUAGGUGGUGCUACACUGUAUCUAUACAAACUGCUUUGUAGCAUGAUUAAAAAACAAGCUCCUGAGUGGGACACAGUGGUGGGACUACUGAGGAGCAAGAGGAGGGCCUGGUGGGAGUAACAAGAACAAACAACAGAAAGAAACAAGAAAAAUUAUUAGAAAAGAAAACAAAAAAGUGUUAAAAGCACAGCAAGACAGAAUGUGUGAGAUGUGACAAGCAGGUUGAGGGCAUGGUGUGAUAGGUUCUAGAGACCCCAGGGACAUGAGAGAAGUUGGCCCCAGACAAAAAGGGUUGGGAAUUCAUGGGUGCAGCAACAUGUGUUUAUCAUUCAUAUAAAUUGAUAUUUGAGAAAACUAAAUUGAAAUGGAUAAUUCUGGUAAUGACUAUGGUAAAUGUGAAAGAUGAAGGGUGAUAAAAAAGGUGCUUUCAGAGAUUGCUCUGACUGUGAUUUCAAUCAACAAGUAAAAGUCUGUUCCUCUUACCCUGGGUGCUGGUGAGAUAACAAGCAGAAGUACUAUUCAGGCUUUUAUUAUUAUUGUAGUUCCACAGUUUUGUACUUAAAGCAGAGACUCAAUCACUUAUACGGGAAGAAUACACUGUAACCUCUCCAAAAUUAUAGACCUUUUUUGUGGGCCAGAAAAUGAAUUUUCUGAGAAUUUAAAAAUAAAUCCAUUUAUUAGUUUAUGAAUUCAAAUUAAUUUUUAAAAGAAAUUGAGCAUCUUUUUAAAUCUUAAAUGAUCUUAAUGGAAUAAUGCAGACUCUUCAAACCUAUCAUAUAAUGAAAACUCUCUGAAAGUUUGUGCAUUGUUUAACUUUGAUGUUUUUAACAGUUUAGUGGCCAUUUUUUGGCAUUAUCAUUCUUAACUGAAAGUUGUUUCUUCAGCAGUGAUUGAAGACUAAUAUCCUUCUGCAGAAAGUUUCACCAGGAAUUGCCCCUUUUCAAAAUGUCUCAUAUACUAUUGUUCUCAAUGAGACUGAGAAAACAGACUGUCCUCAGUCAAGAUGAUGUUCUUGGUUUUGCUCCCAAUGAGAACGAUGAUAGCAUGUGGCCAUUUUGGAAGAAGGGGUUGCCACACUGAUAGACCAGUUCAGAUGAGAGCAAUAGGCCAGUUCACUUCUGUAUGAAUAUCAAAGAAGUAUGAGUAUGCAUUCAGAAUAAUUCACUCAUACGCUAAUAGAUAUAAAAAGAGAUGCUAAUGUUAGUGUAUUCACUUAUCUGUAACUGUCUGUUGUUAAAUUAUAUUUGCAUUGCAUAUACCCCUGUAAUUAUGUUUACAUUAUGUAUACCUUGGUAAUUAGAUAACCCUACAUCAAAGGUGUGGUAAGAAUGUACUUGAUGUAUAAACUUAACGAAAACUACUGAAGGAUUGUUAUUUGUUACUACAUUACCUUUUACAUUGUGUAUAUCUCAGAGACUAAAUUCAUCAAAUGUGAAUGGAACCUUGGAAAUGCUAAUGAAGGACUUAAUGGCUAUAACAGGAAAUGCUCAUUUCAAAGCAAGAGAUGGUGGAGGAGUAAAGACAUUUUUCACAUUGCCUUCUGUGUGGAAAAGCUAUAAAUAUGAUUAAAAAAAGGAUCCAGCAUCUCUGAACAAUUUGAGCAUUCAUAGGGAAACAUUCCAGAUGCAAAACAGAGAUCCACAAAAGUUAUUUUGAGUAACCCUGAGAAAUGUAUGGAAAACUAGCAGAUUAUAACAUCGCUGCCAUUAUUUUAGAUUUACAAACUUAGACUCACUUGUUAAUGUAUUUUAUGUGCUUUAACCUCUCAAUAACUCACUUUUUCUUAGCUAAUAAACCUUUAAGUUAGUUUAAUAG